AGUUUUAACUACUUGUAAUUUUUUAAAAUGAUUUUAUUUGUCAAUAUAUCUAGGAAUGCCUCCAGGGGUCAAUUUGACACUCCUGAGUAACUGCACAUCUGACAAAUAUAAAUAUUUUAGGAAUUUGUUUAUUAUUAUCUUAAUAAGCAGUGUAGAUGCAAAACUGUGUAUAUUAUAUUUGUAUGUAUAUAAAUUAUUGAAUUUGAAUAUCCAUAUCUUGGAAAAGAUGAGAGACCUAGCACCCAGAAUCUUUGAGAAAGUGUGGUUCUGAAAUUAUUAGACCAGUAUCUUGGUGCAGGCCUAAAUGUCACAACAGAUAACUUUUU
rnacentral:lncRNA from 1 species